GCAUAUCAAUAAGCGGAGGAAAAGAAACCAACAGGGGAUUGCCCUAGUAACGGCGAGUGAAGCGGCAACAGCUCAAAUUUGAAAUCUGGCUCUCGGGCCCGAGUUGUAAUUUGUAGAGGAUGCUUUUGAUGCGGUGCCUUCCGAGUUCCCUGGAACGGGACGCCAUAGAGGGUGAGAGCCCCGUCUGGUUGGAUGCCAAAUCUCUGUAAAGCUCCUUCGACGAGUCGAGUAGUUUGGGAAUGCUGCUCUAAAUGGGAGGUAUAUGUCUUCUAAAGCUAAAUACCGGCCAGAGACCGAUAGCGCACAAGUAGAGUGAUCGAAAGAUGAAAAGCACUUUGAAAAGAGAGUUAAAAAGUACGUGAAAUUGUUGAAAGGGAAGCGUUUAUGACCAGACUUGGGCUUGGUUAAUCAUCUGGGGUUCUCCCCAGUGCACUUUUCCAGUCCAGGCCAGCAUCAGUUUUCGCCGGGGGAUAAAGGCUUCGGGAAUGUGGCUCUCUCCGGGGAGUGUUAUAGCCCGUUGCGUAAUACCCUGGCGGGGACUGAGGUUCGCGCAUCUGCAAGGAUGCUGGCGUAAUGGUCAUCAACGACCCGUCUUGAAACACGGACCAAGGAGUCGUCUUCGUAUGCGAGUGUUCGGGUGUCAAACCCCUACGCGUAAUGAAAGUGAACGCAGGUGAGAGCUUCGGCGCAUCAUCGACCGAUCCUGAUGUUCUCGGAUGGAUUUGAGUAAGAGCAUACGGGGCCGGACCCGAAAGAAGGUGAACUAUGCCUGUGUAGGGUGAAGCCAGAGGAAAACUCUGGUGGAGGCUCGCAGCGGUUCUGACGUGCAAAUCGAUCGUCAAACAUGGGCAUGGGGGCGAAAGACUAAUCGAACCUUCUAGUAGCUGGUUUCCGCCGA
rnacentral:rRNA from 1 species